UUCCUGCACUGGACACCACGGCACUCCCUCUGAAGGCAUGAUUUUCUGUGGAAUCGUCUAGUUAAAUAGCACAGGAUUGAAGAAAACACGCUUCACUGUGGAAAGGCCAUCGACAGAAGUCGUAAGUCUCAUGAAGUGAGAGCUGCUUUGAAGGCAAAAACUCCUUAGAUGAGAUCUGUCUUCCCGACUGAAGGAGAAAAACCCACUGAAGCGAAGUUCUGCGUUGCCACUGACGGGAGGAACAUCUACUUGCUGGAGCUCUAACUGCCUGUUUGGAAGGAAAUACGGGUAACAGAAGAACAUCUUAAAUGACAUCACAAGAAUACAACCAACCAACUCCAAGCAGCAGAAAAUACUACAGGAUAAAUGAUUUCGGUUUUUCAACAAAUAAAUGCCCCCUAAAAGGUAACAGACUAAAAGACACGUUGA